CGGAGUUUGACAGAGGAGGUGGAGGAGGAGGAAGAGGAGGAGGAGGAGGAGGAAGAGGAGCUGCAGAUCCCCAGUUGGGACAGAUUGAAGUUAGCCUUUAUCACUGAGGGCUGUUAUUGGCCCAGGACCUCUCCAGGUGUUGGGGGCCCAUCUGUGAACAGGUAGAACCUGAACUCUGCCCAUAUGGAGCUCUCCUUCCGGUGGGGGUGGCAAACAGGUAAGAAGCAAGGGACAUAGGCAGAGAGGAACUGGCCCUUGGACCACUCUGAACCCGGACUUGGAGGUCAGAGGAUGGUGAAUAGUGAGAUUUUACGGUAUGUCCUGGGACACCUCCUAUGAAUAACCCACCCACCUACCACCUUUGCCUUCCCUCCUGGGCAACUACCAGGAAAGAGUCGUUCCACUGAUAUCUUUCAUAAUAGUUCUUCUGGGCUGUAGGAAACUUAACUUUCUCCAUCCAACUUGUCAGCCACAAUGUGCCAUUGUCACCAUUUGCAAAGUGCUGUUUAAUCACUGUCUACAUUGCCACGUGCUUCUCCACCUCACAAGUCUAGCAUGGGUUGCUAAGUCACCUGCCCUAAAAUGACCUCCACCUGUGAUCAGCCUCACCUAAUCCCAGCCUAGUCCUCUGGCAACUGAGGCAGAGAAAAUCCCAUUUCACCAUUGACAAUAUCAGCAAAAGAUUAUGAAUUCUAAUUAUUCAGUAAACCUUUACGGGGCACUGUGCUAGGGACCCUUGCCUAUUGUGCAAAACCCCAGGAACCACACAAUUAUGGGGUCAGGAGAUACAGACUUAAGGCCUGAACAGAAGGAGGACAGGGGCUUCAGGGAGCUCACUGUGAUUACAUCUCCUCUAGAAGCCCCAGGUCCAUUGAGCUAGUGUUUGCCUUACACUCAGGCCAUUCCUUGACAAACACCCCCUGUGCGCUUCAGGUGUACCAGGCAUCGCCCCAAGAACAGGACACAGCAAUGCAUAAGGCAGGGCCUUGUCCUCCAAAAGUUUCUAUCAUAAUGGCAUCCAAAUGCUGGCCACAAGGAAAGUGGGAGCUUGGCAG
rnacentral:lncRNA from 1 species